UGGACGAAUUGGUAGAGUUACCGCCCUUUCAAGGCGGAGGUCACGGGUUCAAAUCCCGUAUACGUCGCCA
rnacentral:tRNA from 1 species